GGAAGAGAGGGUAGAAUAGGAAAAAUCAGAAGAAAAAAACUCCCACGCGAACGUUUCUCUCGUUGGUCUCUCCUCGGAUCCAAACCCUUGACGUCUCGGUCUCGCUGAUCUUUUUGCUUGAUUCAAGCUUCGAAACCCUAAUUUCAUUCGCCAUUAGCAUCGAUUUCAGCUCAGCUUCAGAUUCAAGGAGGCAAAAUUAGUAGCUUCUGAAGUGCUUCGGUGAUCAAAAUACAAUGUCAGCUUUGUUCAAUUUCCAUUCAUUCCUGACGGUUGUGCUGCUUGUGAUCUGCACUUGCACUUAUCUGAAGAUGCAGUUCCCUGCUAUUUUGGAGCAAAAAACUGGGUUCCGAGGAUUCUUUUGGAAAGCUGCUAGAAUAGGCGAGCGUUUGAGUCCUUGGGUCUCCGCGGGAUGCUUCAUGAUGGGUGUGUCGAUCAUUUUCUUUUGAGUGUCAGCUUCUCACAGAACCGGUUCAUGUAGAUUUAACUUCUUUGAGAUGCUUACUUUUCUGUAUGCAAAAGAUUCCAAGGGGUUGAUGAAACUGAAAGAGUAGAAUAUUAUUCUCUUUGGAUUAUGGGUAUGGUCUUGUAUUUGGUACGAUCGUGUGUUGCUUUUGAUGAUAUUGAACAUACGACAUUGGAGCCAGCCCUUACAACACAGGCUUUUUUGUGAGUGAUCAUAUA